ACCAAUUUUCCACCAGAUCACGUUAGUCAGGAAUAGGUGUGUGAGCGUGCCUCUUGUCUACCUGUAAAUAAUUCCAAAGCCUCAUCUCUAUCACAUCAAAUAUUUAAGUGGCUCCCAAAGUAAUAAAGUUAGGAUUGAUUAGAGGACGCGCCCCUGCGUUUGGACGCCUGGAGCGGGAUGGAACCAAUAAGAGAGUUAUCUUUCUCAGGUCUGCCACGCCCCUGUGAGUGUCUGGAUCACCCACACCUGAGUGUCUGGAUCACCCACACCUGUGCGUCUGGAUCACCCACACCUGAACUGCAUCGUCAGUGGAGCUGUAGCCUAUAUUAACCCCAGAACAAGUGUUCCUUGCCUCUUGUCCACAUAGCUGUUUGUUGGUCUGGUGCUGCUGUUAAAUUUGUUAUUGGUGAAAAUUAUUUUCUUUACCCUUUUUCUCCUGUUUUGUGGUCAGUUUGGAGCUUACUUGGGCUUAUUUUUGCAAAGGUUUUGAGUAAACCUACAUUACACAGAUCUUGGCCAUCCUGUUAGAUCAGCAAGUCAAAAAAAAGUGAGACUAGGACCAUUAGCCUGUGUCCUACAGUAGCUGGAUGGCCUGCAUUCCUACAACUUCCAUAGUCCUGUUCCCUGGAGCCUGAAACCGAUUUGAAUCGGAUUACUGAGCCCAGGCAGCCAAGCUUUUAGCAGAUCCAUUAUACAGUAUCAUGCGUGGCAUGUGGACGCAGUGCCCCUAGGGUUUCCAGAGAAGUUAUGGUGUAGGGUUGAAGAGAGAUUUUUUUUAUUUUUUUUUUGUACUCACACCUCAAAUAGGUAUGUUGGAGUUUCAUAUUGUGCAAGAAGUUGUUUAAAAUUAAAAAAAAAAAGUCUUCUGUGUUAA